rnacentral:lncRNA from 13 species
AUGUAUAAUUUCAGACCUGAUAAUGGCUUGUUGUUGGCAGGUAAAAUGAGUAAGGCCUCAGCUGAAUCUACAGACCAAGUGAUGGAGGAGGAAGUAGGUCAGCUUCCGAUUACAGACCAGAUGGAGGAGGACGAGGAGGAGGAGGCUGGGAGCUCAACAGAGACUGAGAGACCCUCCUCUUCUCACACCAAGAGGAAGCCUUCUGUUGCAGCCAAGCAAGUUGGAGGGAAUGAGUCAGACACCUCGGACGAGAGUGGACAGGACGAUGGCGCCUCAGAUGGGAUGUUGGUUGUGCGGCCUCCUGCUGGGACUGACAAGGAGGACAAGAGCAGAGGAGCCAUGAAGCUCCGAGUGGACCUCUCACGGAGAAAGACAGGUAAAAUGAGUAAGGCCUCAGCUGAAUCUACAGACCAAGUGAUGGAGGAGGAAGUAGGUCAGCUUCCGAUUACAGACCAGAUGGAGGACGAGGAGGAGGAGGAGGAGGCUGGGAGCUCAACAGAGACUGAGAGACCCUCCUCUUCUCACACCAAGAGGAAGCCUUCUGUUGCAGCCAAGCAAGUUGGAGGGAAUGAGUCAGACACCUCGGACGAGAGUGGACAGGACGAUGGCGCCUCAGAUGGGAUGUUGGUUGUGCGGCCUCCUGCUGGGACUGACAACAAGGAGGACAAGAGCAGAGGAGCCAUGAAGCUCCGAGUGGACCUCUCACGGAGAAAGACAGGUAAAAUGAGUAAGGCCUCAGCUGAAUCUACAGACCAAGUGAUGGAGGAGGAAGUAGGUCAGCUUCCGAUUACAGACCAGAUGGAGGAGGCGGAGGACGAGGAGGAGGAGGUAGGUCAACAUCAGAUGAUCUUUCUAUGUCCCCUGCUUACUUUUUCAAAUGUAUCCACCUGGGCACAAACAUUGUUUUACCAAAAACAGUAGUACACUAG